UGAUGAGAAGGUGCUGCCUUGGAGACACUGCUCUGUGAUGGUGCAUUCAGUAGUGACAUGGCUAUCCUGAGAGCCCUGGGGACUGGAAUCCUCCCUCUUGCCAGAGCACAGACAAGCACCCUGGCACAGGGCUGGAGCUCCAGAAAGCCAAGAUAAGAGCCCUGCCCGUGCCUUGCUGCAGCGAGCACCGUAUGGGGGAUGGCGAGGCACGAUAAGGCUCGAGGUAAGGCCGCGAGGACUUGCUUGGGUCCCUCCAACAGUUAUCGCCGACGCCGUCUCGCCUCUUUCCUGUUUUGCAAAGGAAGAGCACGGCGAGGAGCACGGCGAGGAGCACCCCGUGGCGGCGGGGGCAAUCACAGCCUCAGUCAGCGCGAUACCUGCCCACACCCAGGGCUACAGCAGCAAGCCGCUGACGGCAGCCGGUACAGUAAAAAUUCCUGCUGGGCGCUGUGGCCACGUCGAUUUUGGCGUCCCUGGAAGACACGCGGCGUGGUGACACGUCUCCUCUGCCGGCUGACUCACGGGCUGCUCCUCCCGGCCUCUGCGAGAGCUGGGAGCGCUCUGCCUCCGGGGGCUGAGACCUCUCGGUGCUACUUCUGGACUCGCUGCUCCCACCCUUUCUCCUCCACAACCUCUUCUGCAAUUUCUGGAGGCUUCGCCUCCACGGCGCUUAUUAAAGAGCUUGUUGGAGGCAGGGAGGCCGGCGAUGAAACUUGUAUGUACAAUUAAAAGCAAACAAUCUGCUCUGCUAAUCCAGCCUUUAAGGCCUGAAGUAAACAACUGCAUUUCAAGGGAACGCUGCUACGGAUGGAAAAGUCUGUCGGGUGCUAGUUGUUUUUUUCUUUUUAAGCACAAGACAAAAUGUUUAACUGUCUAAAAGCUCUAAGCCCUGAUUUGUUAUGGGGAGAUAACAGCUCCAUGAAUUAGAUGAUCAAAGAUGACUUUAUUAGUGAAUUCUAGCAUUGGCUUCUGCUUGUUUAUGGGGCAGGCAAACAUCUAUGUGAGCAUUUAUACCGAUUUUUUUCCAGUGAGUUAUCUGCCGUAAUUGCUGUAAUUCCCUAAUCCGGGUAUUUGCAUCAGCGCUGUGUGCUGAUUAUGACCUGGUUCAGUGCAUUUAUCUGUGCCGAUUUUCAGCAGCUCUUUUGGGAAAACAAAACAAAACAAAACAAAACAAAAAACAAUCCCAAAGACAAAACAAACAAACAAACAAACAAACAAAAACCCAAGCAGGUCUCUUCCUACCAUGCAAGUUUGCCACGUUUCAGACCUCCCUUCCCAGCACCGACCAGGGGCAGCCCGCCUCCUGCGGCGCCUGCUUGCCCUGCUGUGAGCUGCCAGAGCUCACAGCCUAGGGACUGGCGAGAAACUAAAAUCAUUACAUUUGUUCGCUGGAUUUCCGACACGUAGCGUGCGUGUUUAUCUCAAGGCGGGUUAGACACCAAUUAGCGCUGCUCACUAAUGAGGGCACAAUCAGCCAACCUUGCAGUACGGAGCGUGCGGAGCGACGUAGGCGCGGGGAGGCUAAGCACAGCUGACAGCUCAUCUCACCGCUUCUCCUGGUGCUGCCCUGAACAUCCUGCCAGCACAUGCCUUGCAGGCAAUACCGAAAGAAAACGUGAGCGAGCAGUGGUGUUUUCCUUUUCACCCCCCCUCUCCGUGGGCCUGCCCUCAGAACCAGUGAGAGUGAAAGCAAAGACGCACGAGGAGGCCUUGGCGUGGGUCCCUGGGGGGAGCGGGGGCUGACCCCAGCACAGCGAUAAAGGGGGCCAUGUCCACGUGGUGUGUGCCUUUGUGCUCGUUUGCUCGGUUUGGGGGUUGUUCGUUAAAGAGGAAUGAAGUUAAGCAGCUGGAAAUGCUGGCUUAGAGCUGAGAGGGUCAGCGUGCUGCAGAAAUGGGAAGUUAUUGCUCCCGGAGCAUCGAAAGCACGGCUACAUUGCAAAUCCACACUGCUGUGAAUGCUGCAGCCCGCGGGGCAUUGCAGAAGGCACUGGACACACCGAGUUAGAGAUGAAGCCCUCAAGUUGGUCAGGAAGAUGACAGCAGCCUCCCUGCCGUUGGCAGCAAGGUUUGGCGCUGGCCUCCAGUGAGCGUGCUGGCCCGCAGCAUCCUCUGCACUGGGUGUACCAAAGCGGUCUCCAGGCUGAAGAGGGGUCUCCCUGGGGGUGUGCGUGGGCUUUGUGCUGCAGUCUGCAUCCUGACGCACACGGCAGAGCCUCCUCUUCCUCCUCCUCUUCCUCUUCCCCCUCCUCCUCCUUCUCCCCCUCCUCCUCCGCCUCCUUCUCCUCCUCCAGCCCCUUGCAGCUUCUCAGGGUGGGAGUUUGCGAGUGUGCAGGCAGUUCCACAUCUGCUCUCCACAGGCAGAUUUUUGGGUCCUUUAAUGCCCCAGCUCGUGCCCUCCUGCCCUGGGUGCACAGAGAGAGGUGCUCGGUGCUGUGACACGCAACAAACAGGGCAGGGAUCGUUCAUGGCUACGCUGCACAUCGGGACAGGGAAAAUAAUCCGACUGCUAUAAACAAGCCUUUACAAAACCCAGAUGCCUUCAUGAACAAGAAAAUGCUGUAAAUUAUGAAUGUCUGUCAUUUUACAAUAACUAUUCCUUGCCUUUUCUUUUGGAAAAUGCAAACAAUGAUUUUUUUAUAUUUAUAUAUAUAUAUAUAUUUUACACAGAGAAAAUCCCCAUUUUUGGUAGGUGGAAAGUAUUUGGCUAUAUCAGUGAUUAACAGGGUUAAUGUAAUAGCUGCAACUGAAAUGCAAAAAGCAAACAAGCCAAACAGAGAGAAAUGGCUUUGUUAUAAUGGCUUCAUUAUGGAUUUUAAAAAGUUUGCUUUUUCUUGCAGUUUGUUGUCAGAAGGAAUUGGCUGAAUUCAGUCAAAAUGGUUUGUUCUUUGUCUGUCUGUGGUCACCAUAGCUACCACCUCCAUCCGUUAACAUAUGUGGUAUUAUUUCGUUCCUUUCUCUUAAACCCCAUUCACAGAUGCUGUCAAGAUUUCCCUUUGUACCUUCGUGCUGGGGCCGUGCCGGGUUUGGCUCAGCGCAGCGUGAGGCACGGGGCUGGGCACCAGGCGUGGGCUAGGGGCUGCGAGGAGCAGUGGGGCACGAGCUGUCGAGGUGCUGCGGUUCCUGGGGAGGCUCUGCCGGGUCCUCAGCUGCCGUCGGUCAGCAUAAAGGCAGAAAUUUUAGCAGAGCUGGUGUGUCAGCCAAGGUCAGGGCCGGGGAAGUUCCUCAUCACACGGGUGCUGGGUGAGGAGCCUUGGGAUGAAGGGAGGCACAGCUAUGACAUUAAAACUAAUAAAUGAUAUGAUUUUUUAUUGAGCCUGGACGUGUAUCCGCUCUGCAACGUGAGUGAUUGGAGUAUUUAGCGGAUAUCAGAUUAUCCACAUUUCAGAUUUUAAUUGGCAAUGAAUUGGGGAAAAAAAAAAAAAAAAGAAAAAAAGUCAGUUUCCUCUGUUGCUGAAUGAGAAGAUGACUGAGACGGCUUCAUUUUCUUUCCCAGCAGCUGAGCAGGCAGGUAAAUGUAGUGAUGUGAAUUUGUAUGUGGUACAGGUUACAGUGGGGUGGCCAUAAGAGGAAUUAGAUAAUCAGGAAAAUAUCCAAUUUUCUUUCAAAGCUCUCACAGUAAGGAAUAAAGUUAAGGUGAAUCUGUCUUUUUUUUUUUUUUUUUUUUUUUUUUUUUUAAUAUAAAAGCCUUUGUUUAAAGCUCUGUGGGUCUGAUUUUUAGAGCACCCUGCCCUCUGGUUUCUUUUAGCUGGGGAUGUGGGUGUUUGGCGUUUCUCUGCAGCCACUAAUGCCUGCGGAGUAGCUGGAGAAAGUGCGAGGGACAUUAUUGUAAUGAGGGGAUAAUUCUGCUUCUCCUGCCUGCCUUUCAGCACAGAUGAAAGGGUGCCUGGGUGUCACGUUUUGUGCUCUGAAAAAGGCAAUUCUGCUUUCCUGGCUCUGCCCCCCCAGGGGCAGGGAUGCUCUCCUACCGCAGGCCACAUCUGUGUGCCCAGCGUAGGGCCCGUUUUUCAGGCCUCCUGUUUCAGCUGUAAAAAUUCACUUCUCAUGCAUGGCUGGGAAACAAAUCGUCAAGACAGACCAUAACUGCUCUGAGAGGACCAUUAGUUCCCGGUGUAUGAAAAAUCCAUGCUUAAAAAAGUGAGUGCUGUUCUUAUCUACACACCAGGCCGUGACCAGGCCUUGAAGACACGAUAGCCUGCAUGGAAACCAUCGUGUCCAACACCACAGGCACUGAGACAGCAGGAACAGCUCCCUGUGCCUGGAUAUUAGCCAGAUAUUAACCCAGAGCCACCCAGCACCCCUGAGCAGGUUGGGAUCCACAUAUACUCCAGGUUUACACAGACGUAACUCAGAGGAGGAAGGCCGCAGCACAGAGAUUUGGCCCGGUUUUCGUGUGUUGAAGGUUUUCUUCAGACAAAUAGCAGCAAGGAACCGACUUUGGCUUCUUGCUCCUCCCGCUGAGAUCACCGGCAUUUGAGAUUACAUGGGGAUUAGGAGGAAGAGAAAGUACGAAAUCAAAGGUUGGCACUGCAGUGCCAAUGGGUUGUGCUGUGCCAUAGGGGUGUGUUCGUGGAGGCACCGGGCCUGAGCCUUCUCAUACUGGUUUCACAGCAAAGGGAAUUUCCAGGAAUUUUGGUGGAGUGAUCCCUACGUAUGUCAGGAGGAUGUGAAUAAGUUGAUUUUCCCCACUCCCAUGUGUGCAUCUGGACACACCAACCUCUAAGAUUUUUCUCUCUCUUAUGUAAGUUUGCUCGAACCUCUGACUGCAUGCUUGGAGACCAAUUUGAGAUGAAUUUCUAACAGUUUCCUUUCCCAUGGGAAUGCCAGUGGUAAGAAACUGCUCCUGGGAAAAGCUUGUUCCAUCACUCAAAAAAAAAAAAAAAAAAAAAAGAAGAAAAAAAAAUCAACAAUUGAUUUAAAGACUGAAGGGCAAGGAUUGUAUUGUGAAACAGUUUUUAAAAAUUAAUAUCUCCUGUUAACCCCUGGCUCUAUUAAUGUACAGCAUCCAGUCUUUGUCCCAUCAGGUCUGGUGACACAGAGCUCCCCAAAUGGAUUGUGUGGAUUUCUUGUUCUAAAUUUCUUAGAAAAACUGUUAUUGUACUCCAGGUCACCCUGAGAACGAUGGCAGCUGUCACCCACAACACUAUCUCCCAGGGUUUAACCUGCACUGGCUGUUCUGCUGCUGAGAUGACGAUGGAGAGAAAUGAAAGAAAUUUAUAAAAAGAGAGCGAGCUCUUCCCAGACCAGCUUCGUGCUUGCUGCAAUCAUUCCUACGAUAAAGCAGCUCCCAGAUGGAAAUCUUUUUCCCCUUGUUUUGCUAAGGAAUGAUGAAUCUCUCUGCAGCUUGUGUUUCCAUUCUGAUAUGGAGAUUUUCUGCUUAGACAUAGCACCGAGUGGGGCAGACCCACCAGCUAUCUGGGGCUUUCUGCACUGAUUUUGCUCCCUGAUCCUUCUGUGGAAUACAGGGCUUGCUUUCUGUGAGAAGGCACCGGCUGUAGGGGUGUGUGUGUGUUAAUGCUGCCGUGUCACCCCCAUCACCGCUGUCCCGUCCACUUUCUCUUCUUCAGGCUGCUCAGGGGCGCAGGGUGGGAGCAGAGAGGAGAUGCAUCUCCAAAGCCUUAAGAAAAUCAGCUUGCUUUUGGGCGUCAAGGGGGAAUGGGGCUGUGCAGCAGCCUGACAUUUAAUUAACGGAGAGCUGCUCCCAGGGGAGCCGGGGGCAGCACAGGGUGUGGGGAAGGCCGUAUGCCCUAGGAACCCGAUCCCCGCUGGGGGAGGCUCUCAGGGCACAGAUGUGUGACUCCCGCUGCCCUGGUUUCAUAAACUGUGAACCAGCCCUUGGUGCUGACACCGAAACAGUGCCAGCUCCUCGUGCUUUCCCUUUGGGAAUUCUCUCUGCCCACUGCCAGCCCAGGACACCCUCUGCUCUGCCUCCCCUGCUCCCCCGGGCUGCCACGCAGCCCUCCUCCUGCCUCCCCCAGUGCCGCUGCCUCCCUGCACCCUCUCACUCCCACCACCGUCCUCCCCGCAAUUUUUCCUGCUGGCCUCCCACUCGCUACAGGAUAUGAGCCAUUCUCUCCGGUGGGGAAUAAAAAUUUGGAUUAUAAUUUGCCUUUAUUGCUCCUUCUCCAGAAUCAGCUUUCAGGCUGCAGGGCUGCAAGGAAGAAUUUUCAAGGGAGCGCAGGAGAUUUAGGGACAGAUUUUUAAGGUCUUUUAGUUACAUUAAAAUGAAAUUAGAUGCCCCUUGGGAUUUUUCAACAGAACUAGAUUUUUUAAUUAUUUUUUUUUAAUUUUCCACGUGAUGUCUGUUUAUAUCUUCAGGCAUUUAAAUGCCUCCAGAGAUUUGGCUUUUGAACACCGAAGUCCCCUUGGAACCAACGAGAGAGGGGCAUAAACUCCUGGACAUUUCCUCCAAAUUCCAGCCAAAAUUGUCAAACUUGGAGCAGGAAGUUCUAAUGUAGGAGCUUGUAAACCUGAUUUCUGCUCUGCUUUAGCACCAGGGGAAAACAAGCAAGCAACCAACCAACCCAUAGCGUCGGCCACAUAAACAUCUUGUUCAAAGGGUAAUGUUUUCCUGAUUAAUAGCCUUUCGGUAUUAAAAACUAUCAGUCUCGAGGGUGAUUAAUUGUCCCUUCUGCUGUUAGUAACCAAACACGUCUGUAUAUGCAUACGUGUACACACAUACUUACAAACACAGCCGUGUAACAUGCACGCUCUCACGGGGGUGAGCAUUUUCAGUGCCUCUCUUUUCAAGGAAAAUAGGUGAGAGCUGCUUUGUACAGCUCAGGCAAAUGGGAAGGCAUUUAGUUUUUGUAACCCUUUGUGGCAAUGACUGGCAGUGAUGUAGAUGUGCCGGGAGCAGUGUGUCGUGGCACAGCCAGCAGGCACUGAGCUGGGCAGGGCGGACACGAGGGAAGAGGCAGCAGACACGGCGCUUUUCGCCUGGGGAGCGGUGCCUGCUCCGUUCUCAGGCACCCCCGCGGCAUUGCUGCUUCAGCUCGACUGUGCUUGUGGGCCUGACGGGGUUAAUAGCCAU